GAUGAACGCUGGCGGCGUGCUUAACACAUGCAAGUCGAACGAUGAUCCCAGCUUGCUGGGGGAUUAGUGGCGAACGGGUGAGUAACACGUGAGUAACCUGCCCUUAACUCUGGGAUAAGCCUGGGAAACUGGGUCUAAUACCGGAUAUGACUCCUCAUCGCAUGGUGGGGGGUGGAAAGCUUUAUUGUGGUUUUGGAUGGACUCGCGGCCUAUCAGCUUGUUGGUGAGGUAAUGGCUCACCAAGGCGACGACGGGUAGCCGGCCUGAGAGGGUGACCGGCCACACUGGGACUGAGACACGGCCCAGACUCCUACGGGAGGCAGCAGUGGGGAAUAUUGCACAAUGGGCGAAAGCCUGAUGCAGCGACGCCGCGUGAGGGAUGACGGCCUUCGGGUUGUAAACCUCUUUCAGUAGGGAAGAAGCGAAAGUGACGGUACCUGCAGAAGAAGCGCCGGUUAACUACGUGCCAGUAGCUGUGGUAAUACGUAGGGCGCAAGCGUUAUCCGGAAUUAUUGGGCGUAAAGAGCUCGUAGGCGGUUUGUCGUGUCUGCCGUGAAAGUCCGGGGCUUAACUCCGGAUCUGCGGUGGGUACGGGCAGACUAGAGUGAUGUAGGGGAGACUGGAAUUCCUGGUGUAGUGGUGAAAUGUGUAGAUAUCAGGAGGAACACCGAUGGUGAAGGCGGGUCUCUGGGCAUUAACUGACGCUGAGGAGCGAAAGCAUGGGGAGUGAAUAGGAUUAGAUAUCCUGGUAGUCCAUGCCGUAAACGUUGGGCACUAGGUGUGGGGGACAUUUUACGUUUUCCGCGCCGUAGCUAAUGCAUUAAGUGCCCCGCCUGGGGAGUAUGGCCGUAAGGCUA
rnacentral:rRNA from 1 species